UACGAAGGGGGCUAGCGUUGCUCGGAAUCACUGGGCGUAAAGGGUGCGUAGGCGGGUUUUUACGUCAGAGGUGAAAUCCUGGAGCUCAACUCCAGAACUGCCUUUGAUACUGAGAAUCUUGAGUUCGGGAGAGGUGAGUGGAACUGCGAGUGUAGAGGUGAAAUUCGUAGAUAUUCGCAAGAACACCAGUGGCGAAGGCGGCUCACUGGCCCGAUACUGACGCUGAGGCACGAAAGCGUGGGGAGCAAACAGG
rnacentral:rRNA from 1 species